rnacentral:lncRNA from 1 species
ACACACGCACACACGCACACACGCUGAGCUACCGCCAAUGCUUGAGCCCCCAGCCCUUACACACACCCAUACACGUGCACAAACACACACACACGCUGAACCAACUUCAACACUUGAGCCCCCAGCCCCUAGAGAGAGACACACACACACACGCUGAUGCGGGAGCAUUUAGCACAGUUUCCUUGCUGAAAAAGCAGGACCUCGGUUUAGAAAAUGGAAAUUGCCCAGGAGGAAAAGAGAGCUGAGAUAUAUGCAGCCCCAGGUACUUAGGGUGCCUCCUUCUAAUUCAUCUUCACCAUUGUGGUUGUCAAUAUGGCAUGCAGAAUUAUCCCUCUUUCCAGGUUUUCCCCAAGGACCCUGGACAAUGCUGGUUUUUCCUAUGUGCACCACCAAAGGGCCUAUCCAGCUUCUGGAGUCUACCUGGAUUCCUGGGCUCAUGGCCCCUUCCUCCAUCUUCAAACCAGCAAUGGAAAUGGAAAUGAAAGCAAAAUGGAAGGACGUGAGGUCCUUAUCCUUGGAGAUCCUAUGGAGUCUCCACAGACAUUCCUUGAAGAAAUCAGAUGGAGCUGAGCCUGACACUCUAACCGGUUCUCUGGGUGUACUGCAAAGGUCUAAUAAAAGGCACCUUUGCCCGGUUGCUUCAAUUCUAGGAAGCUGUUCAAUGUUUGACUAUAUUUCUCCAUACUCAUUUGAAAACAGUUCAUCAGGUUAGUUCAGUUGAAUUAUUGCUCCUUGGGAGUUUUCCAAACCCUGGAUUUCCUUCGGAGAGAGCUAGAUUCUAUUCCAUUCUUGGAAUUCAGCUCCUUGCCCUUCUCUGUGACCCCGGAUCGCGAAUGCAGUAAAAAUAAAAAUAUCCUGCUGCCUCCUGCACUAA